rnacentral:rRNA from 1 species
GAUGAACGCUGACAGAAUGCUUAACACAUGCAAGUCAACUUGAAUUUGGGUUUUUAACUUAGGUUUGGGUGGCGGACGGGUGAGUAACGCGUAAAGAACUUGCCUCACAGCUAGGGACAACAUUUGGAAACAAAUGCUAAUACCUAAUAUUAUGAUAAUAGGGCAUCCUAUAAUUAUGAAAGCUAUAAGCGCUGUGAGAGAGCUUUGCGUCCCAUUAGCUAGUUGGAGAGGUAACGGCUCACCAAGGCGAUGAUGGGUAGCCGGCCUGAGAGGGUGAUCGGCCACAAGGGGACUGAGACACGGCCCUUACUCCUACGGGAGGCAGCAGUGGGGAAUAUUGGACAAUGGACCAAGAGUCUGAUCCAGCAAUUCUGUGUGCACGAUGAAGUUUUUCGGAAUGUAAAGUGCUUUCAGUUGGGAAGAAAGAAAUGACGGUACCAACAGAAGAAGUGACGGCUAAAUACGUG